AUUGAACGCUGGCGGCAUGCCUUACACAUGCAAGUCGAACGGUAACGCGGGCUUCGGCCUGGCGACGAGUGGCGAACGGGUGAGUAAAGUAUCGGAACGUGCCCUGGAGUGGGGGAUAGCUCGGCGAAAGCCGGAUUAAUACCGCAUACAAUCCACGGAUGAAAGUGGGGGACCGCAAGGCCUCACGCUCCUGGAGCGGCCGAUAUCUGAUUAGCUAGUUGGUGGGGUAAAGGCCUACCAAGGCGACGAUCAGUAGCUGGUCUGAGAGGACGACCAGCCACACUGGGACUGAGACACGGCCCAGACUCCUACGGGAGGCAGCAGUGGGGAAUUUUGGACAAUGGGGGCAACCCUGAUCCAGCAAUGCCGCGUGAGUGAAGAAGGCCUUCGGGUUGUAAAGCUCUUUUGUCAGGAAAGAAAUCCCCUGGGUGAAUACCCCGGGGGGAUGACGGUACCUGAAGAAUAAGCACCGGCUAACUACGUGCCAGCAGCCGCG
rnacentral:rRNA from 1 species